rnacentral:rRNA from 1 species
GAAUCUUGGACAAUGGGCGAAAGCCUGAUCCAGCGACGCCGCGUGAGUGAUGAAGGCCCUCGGGUCGUAAAGCUCUGUUGAGAGGGAAGAAAAAAGGCUGUUCGAAUAGGGCGGCCUCUUGACGGUACCUCGUUAGAAAGCACCGGCUAACUCGGUGCCCGCAGCCGCGGUAAGACAGAGGGUGCAAACGUUGCUCGGAAUUACUGGGCGUAAAGCGCGUGUAGGCGGGCCGGUAAGUCAGACGUGAAAUCCCCGGGCUCAACCCGGGAACUGCGUUUGAAACUGCCGGUCUAGAGUGGUGGAGAGGGAAGUGGAAUUCCUGGUGUAGAGGUGAAAUUCGUAGAUAUCAGGAGGAACACCGGUGGCGAAGGCGGCUUCCUGGACACCUACUGACGCUGAGACGCGAAAGCGUGGGGAGCAAACAGG